CGCCCGCGCGCCCCGCGCCCGCCCGGGCCCGCUCGCCAGCACGCCCAGCGCCGGCGCCGACUCGAGGAUCGACCACCGCCGCACUCGCCAGAAGCGUAACAGUGAGGCGAGCACAGACAGCGAGAAGGCUCCCUUGAGGACUGAGUAUAGGAACGGCAGGCUUGUAGUUGUUUGAUGUGCAGUAUUAAAAGAGAAUUAAGUGAACAAAUUGUUGACUAAUUGAGGUAUAGUGCUCGUUUAUUAUAAGUUUGUUUAACCGCCUCUGUGGUCUAGUGGUAAGACCACCUGCUUCAGACGCAGACGUCCCGGGUUCCGAUUCCCAGUGGGAGCAGAUUUUUCUGUUCGGUCUGGUUGGUGGUAGGGCUUGUUCUAAGUCCGCCUGGCUAGCUGCCACCAUCUUACCUAAGUCUGUCGCCAUAACAACAAUGUUAACAGCAUUGUUGUUUUCCGGCAGUUAGAGGUAAGAUAGCCAGUUCCUCCGUGGUUGAGGAUUCCGGGUGAAGCUCGCUUCCACUUUCGGCUUGAUCAUCAUCACUUACCAUCAGGUGAGAUACAGACCAAGAGCUUCCUCGUUGUGGAUAAAAAAACAGACUUUUUUUUAUAAAAACACCAACCGAAAACCGAAUUGAGAAUAAGAGUAGGCGCACACCGUUGAUUUUUCGUCGGCCGAUAGUUUAGUCGGGCAGUUGAUCAGUAUGGGCAUGUAUGGGAGUGCGCACACUACGCCGAUUCGAUUUGGCCGAUUCUUCAUACAAUUUAGAGUAGGCGCACACCGUUGAUUUUUCGUCGGCCGAUAGUUUAGUCGGGCAGUUGAUCAGUAUGGGCAUGUAUGGGAGUGCGCACACUACGCCGAUUCGAUUUGGCCGAUUUUUCAUACAAUUUAUAAUCGGGCACAACUAUCGGCCAUCUAAAAAUCAACGGUGUGCGCCUACUCUAAGCCUUUUAUUGAAAUCGGUAGAAUGUUAUUUAGGUAAUAAUAAUAGAAGGUACAUGUGAUUUUCUAGAUAAAGUAGGUAUAGGAAUAUGUUACAGUCAAAACUCAUAAUCAGUCAAAAGUGAUUUUGACCAAUGACCAAGGGCGUUAGUCAAAAUCACUUUUGAGCGCAAAUAUUUUAUUUAUAAAAAAUAGUAUACAUUAAAAUAAUAGUGCUCGAUUAUUUAAUUGACAUGAUAAUGAGUUUAUUAAUUGUUAACUGUUUUAUGUGUUGUAAUUUUAAUUUCCUACUUUAAAAAAACAGCUGGGAUGAAAUAUGAAUGAUUUUCAUCCCCACUCCACUGUUUUUUUGACUUGACUCGGCUAAUUUCCGCGUGCCUAGUGUAAAUCCGCCAGAAAACUGUAUGGUUGUUUCCUGUUUUUCUAACAUGUUACUCAUACAGAUCGUAAUUUUCACAAUCGCUCUAGAGUCUAUAGUUGUAGACUAUUAUUAAUAAAAUAUUUUUAUGAAAAAAGAAAUUAAUUAAAAAAAAAACAAAAUAAUAA